CCUACGGGAGGCAGCAGUGAGGAAUAUUGGUCAAUGGGCGAGAGCCUGAACCAGCCAAGUCGCGUGAGGGAGGACUGCUCUAUGGGUUGUAAACCUCUUUUGUCGGGGAGCAAAAGCCGGACGUGUCCGGCUGUGAGAGUACCCGAAGAAAAAGCAUCGGCUAACUCCGUGUCAGCAGCCGCGGUUAUUCGGGGGAUGCGAGCGUUAUCCGGAGUUAUUGGGUUUAAGGGGGGCGCAGGCGGAAUUUUAAGUCAGCGGUCAAAUCGUGGGGCUCAACCCCAUCCAGCCGUUGAAACUGGUGGUCUAGAGUGGACGAGAGGUAUGCGGAAUGCGUGGUGUAGCGGUGAAAUGCAUAGAUAUCACGCAGAACCCCGAUUGCGAAGGCAGCAUACCGGUGCACAACUGACGCUCAGGCACGAAAGCGUGGGUAUCGAACAGGAUUAGAUACCCGAGUAGUC
rnacentral:rRNA from 1 species